rnacentral:rRNA from 1 species
GAUGAACGCUGGCGGCGUGCCUAAUACAUGCAAGUCGAGCGAACAGACGAGGAGCUUGCUUCUCUGACGUUAGCGGCGGACGGGUGAGUAACACGUGGAUAACCUACCUAUAAGACUGGGAUAACUUCGGGAAACCGGAGCUAAUACCGGAUAAUAUUUUGAACCGCAUGGUUCAAAAGUGAAAGACGGUCUUGCUGUCACUUAUAGAUGGAUCCGCGCUGCAUUAGCUAGUUGGUAAGGUAACGGCUUACCAAGGCAACGAUGCAUAGCCGACCUGAGAGGGUGAUCGGCCACACUGGAACUGAGACACGGUCCAGACUCCUACGGGAGGCAGCAGUAGGGAAUCUUCCGCAAUGGGCGAAAGCCUGACGGAGCAACGCCGCGUGAGUGAUGAAGGUCUUCGGAUCGUAAAACUCUGUUAUUAGGGAAGAACAAAUGUGUAAGUAACUGUGCACAUCUUGACGGUACCUAAUCAGAAAGCCACGGCUAACUACGUG